rnacentral:rRNA from 1 species
GACGAACGCUGGCGGCGUGCCUAAUACAUGCAAGUCGAACGCAGUGGGGACGGGUGAGUAACACGUGGGUAACCUCCCAUCAGAGGGGAUAACACUUGGAAACAGGUGCUAAACCGAUACUGAUGGAUGGACCCGCGGUGCAUUAGCUAGUUGGUGAGGUAACGGCUCACCAAGGCCACGAUGCAUAGCCGACCUGAGAUGUUGAUUGGCAACAAUGGAGAUGAGACACGGCCCAGACUCCUACGGGAGGCAGCAGUAGGGAGUCUUCGGCAAGGGACGAAAGUAUGACCGAGCAACGCCGCGUGAGUGAAGAAGUGUGUCGGAUCGUAAAACUCUGUUGGGAGAGAAGCGGUAUCUAACCAGAAAGCCACGGCUAACUACGGGCCAGCAGCCGCGGUAAUAC